UGUAACAAAUAUCAACCGAAA
rnacentral:piRNA from 1 species